rnacentral:rRNA from 1 species
UACGAAGGGGGCUAGCGUUGCUCGGAAUCACUGGGCGUAAAGCGCACGUAGGCGGCUUCUUAAGUCAGGGGUGAAAUCCUGGAGCUCAACUCCAGAACUGCCUUUGAUACUGAGAAGCUUGAGUCCGGGAGAGGUGAGUGGAACUGCGAGUGUAGAGGUGAAAUUCGUAGAUAUUCGCAAGAACACCAGUGGCGAAGGCGGCUUACUGGUCCGGUUCUGACGCUGAGGCGCGAAAGCGUGGGGAGCAAACAGG